rnacentral:rRNA from 1 species
AUGGGGACGGGGACGGGUUUGCAAUUUUCUCGGGGGGAUGGGUUUGGGCAAGCAAAACCCGGUGGGUUUCGUCCCCGUUGCCAUCUUGACAUAAGCUCGUCUGCCCAACAUGAGCUGAUCCAGGUCGACCCCAAGUAUGGCAUCGGGAACAAGAUCUCAACGGCGGGUGAUGUGUAUAGCUAUGGAAUUAUCAUCCUAGAAAUGCUCACGGCGAAACGCCCAACAGAUGUGUUGUUCAAGAAUGGCUUCAGCCUUCAGAAAUUUGUGGGAAAUGCAUUUCCUACAAAGAUCCGCGAGAUACUUGAUCCUAAUGUCAUCAUCCAAAAUUUCGGAGACGAAGGCGUGGACAUAAACCUAGACCAAGGAAACCAUGCAAUGGAGGGAAUGCUGAGCUGCAUUACUAAGCUUGCUCAGCUUGGUCUCUCAUGCUCCACAGAGACACCAAAAGAUCGGCCGACAAUGCCGGACGUCUACGCAGAAGUCUCCGCAAUCAAACGAGAAUACUCUGCGCAGCGCAUCAAGGAAUAG